AACGAACGCUGGCGGCAGGCCUAACACAUGCAAGUCGAACGAAGUCUUCGGACUUAGUGGCGCACGGGUGAGUAACACGUGGGAAUAUACCUUACGCUGGGGGAUAACAUCGGGAAACUGAUGCUAAUACCGCAUACGCCCUUCGGGGGAAAGAUUUAUCGGCGAAAGAUUAGCCCGCGUCCGAUUAGCUAGUUGGUGAGGUAAUGGCUCACCAAGGCUCCGAUCGGUAGCUGGUCUGAGAGGAUGACCAGCCACACUGGGACUGAGACACGGCCCAGACUCCUACGGGAGGCAGCAGUGGGGAAUAUUGGACAAUGGGCGCAAGCCUGAUCCAGCCAUGCCGCGUGAGUGAUGAAGGCCUUAGGGUUGUAAAGCGCUUUCACCCACGACGAUGAUGACGGUAGUGGGAGAAGAAGCCCCGGCUAACUUCGUG
rnacentral:rRNA from 1 species